AUUGAACGCUGGCGGCAUGCCUUACACAUGCAAGUCGAACGGCAGCACGGGAGCAAUCCUGGUGGCGAGUGGCGAACGGGUGAGUAAAGUAUCGGAACGUGCCCAGUCGUGGGGGAUAACGUAGCGAAAGUUACGCUAAUACCGCAUACGAUCUAUGGAUGAAAGCGGGGGAUCGCAAGACCUCGCGCGAUUGGAGCGGCCGAUAUCAGAUUAGGUAGUUGGUGGGGUAAAGGCUCACCAAGCCGACGAUCUGUAGCGGGUCUGAGAGGACGAGCAGCCACACUGGGACUGAGACACGGCCCAGACUCCUACGGGAGGCAGCAGUGGGGAAUUUUGGACAAUGGGCGAAAGCCCGAUCCAGCCAUGCCGCGUGCAGGAUGAAGGCCUUCGGGUUGUAAACUGCUUUUGUACGGAACGAAAAGGUUUGGCCUAAUAAGCUGAGCUCAUGACGGUACCGUAAGAAUAAGCACCGGCUAACUACGUGCCAGCCGCCGCGGUAA
rnacentral:rRNA from 1 species